rnacentral:rRNA from 1 species
CACGUAGUUAGCCGUCCCUUUCUGGUAAGAUACCGUCACAGUGUGAACUUUCCACUCUCGCACUCGUUCUUCUCUUACAACAGAGCUUUACGAUCCGAAAACCUUCUUCACUCACGCGGCGUUGCUCGGUCAGACUUCCGUCCAUUGCCGAAGAUUCCCUACUGCUGCCUCCCGUAGGAGUCUGGGCCGUGUCUCAGUCCCAGUGUGGCCGAUCACCCUCUCAGGUCGGCUAUGUAUCGUCGCCUUGGUGAGCCGUUACCCCCACCAACUAGCUAAUACAACGCAGGUCCAUCUGGUAGUGAUGCAAUUGCACCUUUUAAGCAAAUGUCAUGCAACAUCUACUCUUAUGCGGUAUUAGCUAUCGUUUUCCAAUAGUUAUCCCCCGCUACCCAGGCAAGGUUACCUACGCGUUACUCACCCGUUCGCAACUCAUCCAGAGAAGCAAGCUCCUCCUUCAGCGUUCUACUUGCAUGUAUUAGGCACGCCGCCAGCGUCGUCC